rnacentral:rRNA from 1 species
UACAGAGACUGCAAGCGUUAUUCGGAUUCACUGGGCGUAAAGGGUGCGCAGGCGGCCGUGUGUGUGAGGCGUGAAAGCCCGGGGCUCAACCCCGGAAUUGCACCUCAAACUACAUGGCUAGAGCAUUGGAGAGGGUAGCGGAAUUCACGGUGUAGCAGUGAAAUGCGUAGAUAUCGUGAGGAACACCAGAGGCGAAGGCGAGUCUCUGGACAUUUCCUGACGCUGGGGCACGAAAGCCAGGGGAGCAAACGGG